UACGUAGGGUGCAAGCGUUGUCCGGAAUUAUUGGGCGUAAAGAGCUCGUAGGCGGUCUGUUGCGUCGGCUGUGAAAACCCGGGGCUCAACUCCGGGCCUGCAGCCGAUACGGGCAGACUAGAGUUCGGCAGGGGAGACUGGAAUUCCUGGUGUAGCGGUGAAAUGCGCAGAUAUCGGGAGGAACACCGGUGGCGAAGGCGGGUCUCUGGGCCGAUACUGACGCUGAGGAGCGAAAGCGUGGGGAGCAAACAGG
rnacentral:rRNA from 1 species